UACGAAGGGGGCUAGCGUUGCUCGGAAUCACUGGGCGUAAAGCGCACGUAGGCGGCUUGUUAAGUCAGGGGUGAAAUCCUGGAGCUCAACUCCAGAACUGCCUUUGAUACUGAAGAUCUUGAGUCCGGGAGAGGUGAGUGGAACUGCGAGUGUAGAGGUGAAAUUCGUAGAUAUUCGCAAGAACACCAGUGGCGAAGGCGGCUCACUGGCCCGGUACUGACGCUGAGGCACGAAAGCGUGGGGAGCAACAGG
rnacentral:rRNA from 1 species